UACGUAGGGUCCAAGCGUUAUCCGGAAUUACUGGGCGUAAAGCGUGCGCAGGCGGUUCUAUAAGACAGAUGUGAAAUCCCCGGGCUCAACCUGGGAACUGCAUUUGUGACUGUAGAGCUGGAGUACGGCAGAGGGGGAUGGAAUUCCGCGUGUAGCAGUGAAAUGCGUAGAUAUGCGGAGGAACACCGAUGGCGAAGGCAAUCCCCUGGGCCUGUACUGACGCUCAUGCACGAAAGCGUGGGGAGCAAACAGG
rnacentral:rRNA from 1 species